rnacentral:rRNA from 1 species
UACGUAGGGUCCGAGCGUUGUCCGGAGUUACUGGGCGUAAAGCGUGCGUAGGCGGUUGUCUAAGUUUGGUGUGAAAUCUCCUGGCUUAACUGGGAGGGUGCGCCGAAAACUGGGUGACUGGAGUGUCGGAGAGGUAAGCGGAAUUCCUGGUGUAGCGGGUGAAAUGCGUAGAGAUCAGGAGGACACCUGUGGUGUAGACAGCUUACUGGACGAUAACUGACGCUGAGGCACGAAAGCGUGGGUAGCAAACAGG